AUUGAACGCUGGCGGCAUGCCUAACACAUGCAAGUCGAUCGGAGCGGCGGACGGGUGAGUAAUGCCUAGUAAUCUGCCCGGUAGUGGCGGAUAACAUCCGGAAACGGGCGCUAAUACCGCCUACUAUCAGAUGAGCCUAGGUCGGAUUAGCUAGUUGGUGGGGUAAAGGCCUACCCAGGCGACGAUCCGUAACUGGUCUGAGAGGAGGUUCCGUCACACUGGAACUGAGACAGGGUCCAGACUCGUCCGGGAGGAAGGAGUGGGGAGUAUUGGACAAUGGGUGAAAGCCGGUUGCAGCCAUGCGGCGUGUGUGAAGAAGGCCUUCGGGUUGUAAAGUACUUUCAGCGGGGAUGCGUUACCCCCAGAAGAAGCACCGGCUAACUCCGGGCCAGCGGCAGCGGUAAUAC
rnacentral:rRNA from 1 species